AUGAAUUAUCAUGAGAAAGUAUAAAGUUCUGUUCAAUUCAUGUAGGCUCAGGUAGUUGCUGGUCGAUGUGUUGUAAUUGUUGGAGAGAGAGAGCGAGAGAGAGAGAGAGAGAGAGGACGAUCAAACAGUGACAGCUAUUGUCUUCCAAACCUUCCUUUACUUUCUGGAUCCGUCGUUUCGUUGUGGCCAUUCAGAGAUCCUGGAUCUUUUCAGAAAGAUCUGAGCACAGAAGCGCCGACUUCUCGCAGAUGAAGCAACGCUUAUCCUCACUGCAAUGUUCAAAGUGAGGGUACCAUCCACAUUCAAUGCAUUCGAAGACUCCAGCCUUCAUUUGGAACACGAUAUUCGAGGCCACUCUCCUAUCAAGAAGGG